ACGAACGCUGGCGGCGUGCUUAACACAUGCAAGUCGCACGGAAAGGCCCUGCUUUUGUGGGGUGCUCGAGUGGCGAACGGGUGAGUAACACGUGAGUAACCUGCCCUUGACUUUGGGAUAACUUCAGGAAACUGGGGCUAAUACCGGAUAGGAGCUCCUGCUGCAUGGUGGGGGUUGGAAAGUUUCGGCGGUUGGGGAUGGACUCGCGGCUUAUCAGCUUGUUGGCGGGGUAGUGGCUUACCAAGGCUUUGACGGGUAGCCGGCCUGAGAGGGUGACCGGCCACAUUGGGACUGAGAUACGGCCCAGACUCCUACGGGAGGCAGCAGUGGGGAAUAUUGCACAAUGGGCGGAAGCCUGAUGCAGCAACGCCGCGUGCGGGAUGACGGCCUUCGGGUUGUAAACCGCUUUCGCCUGUGACGAAGCGUGAGUGACGGUAAUGGGUAAAGAAGCACCGGCUAACUACGUG
rnacentral:rRNA from 1 species